UAAAGCAGGAUUUUUCAUUCCUGCUCGGAGAGCGUGUCAGCUCUGAGCCCAGCUAGAGGAGGCAGAUCCUGGGAGCCGGGGAGCCGAGGCUAUGCCAUGAUGCUGGAGGAGCCGAGGCUAUGCCAUGAUGCUGGAUGCUCUUCUCCUGUUCUUCUGCUUCUCUCAACACUGACAGGCAUCUUAUAGCUACGUCUGCCACUCUUUGUGUUCGCGUUUAUUGCAUAUUAAGGAUGCUCCACAGAUCAUCAUGUGCUUCAAUGGACAUAAGAACAUACAACCAUCUUUAAAAGGAGUUCACAAUAUCAUGUUUUGCCUAUUUGAUCAGUGAGCUGCAGAAAUUGGACAGAACAUGAAUAUCUCUCUUUGCUUAACUGUUCACAUUUUCCAAAAUCAUUUAUUUAUUUACUUUUUUAAAUAAAAAGAAAUGCUUACGUUUCAA